ACCGGAGGAAGGUGGGGAUGACGUCAAAUCAUCAUGCCCCUUAUGACUUGGGCUACACACGUGCUACAAUGGACGGUACAACGAGUCGCGAAACCGCGAGGUCAAGCUAAUCUCUGAAAGCCGUUCUCAGUUCGGAUUGCAGGCUGCAACUCGCCUGCAUGAAGUUGGAAUCGCUAGUAAUCGCGGAUCAGCAUGCCACGGUGAAUACGUUCCCGGGCCUUGUACACACCGCCCGUCACACCAUGAGAGUUUGUAACACCCAAAGCCGGUGAGGUAACCUUCGGGGGCCAGCCGUCUAAGGUGGGACAGACGAUUAGGGUGAAGUCGUAACAAGGUAGCCGUAGGAGAACCUGCGGCUGGAUCACCUCCUUCUAA
rnacentral:rRNA from 1 species